rnacentral:rRNA from 1 species
UACGUAGGGACCAAGCGUUGUUCGGAUUUACUGGGCGUAAAGGGCGCGUAGGCGGCAAUUCAAGUCAGCUGUGAAAUCUCCGGGCUUAACUCGGAACGGUCAGCUGAUACUGUGCGGCUAGAGUGCGGAAGGGGCAACUGGAAUUCUUGGUGUAGCGGUGAAAUGCGUAGAUAUCAAGAGGAACACCUGCGGCGAAGGCGGGUUGCUGGGCUGAUACUGACGCUGAGGCGCGAAAGCCAGGGGAGCGAACGGG